rnacentral:rRNA from 1 species
GACGAACGCUGGCGGCGUGCCUAACACAUGCAAGUCGAGCGGAGUCGAUCGACGGAAGCCUUCGGGCGGAAGAUGGUUGACUUAGCGGCGGAUGGGUGAGUAACGCGUGGGCAACCUGCCUCGAAGACCGGGAUAACAGCCCGAAAGGGCUGCUAAUACCGGAUGUGGUCAAGGAUCCGCAUGGAUUUUUGAUUAAAGGGGAAACCCGUUUCGAGAUGGGCCCGCGUCCUAUCAGCUAGUUGGUGAGGUAAAAGCUCACCAAGGCGACGACGGGUAGCCGGCCUGAGAGGGUGACCGGCCACACUGGAACUGAGACACGGUCCAGACUCCUACGGGGGGCAGCAGUGGGGAAUCUUCCACAAUGGGCGAAAGCCUGAUGGAGCGACGCCGCGUGAGCGAAGAAGGCCUUCGGUUGUAAGCUCUGUCUGGAGGGACGAAGGAAGUGACGGUACCUCCGGAGGAAGCCACGGCUAACUACGUGCCAGCAGCCGCGGUAAAGUACUCUAU